AGAUUGAACGCUGGCGGCAGGCCUAACACAUGCAAGUCGGGCGGCAGCACGGGUACUUGUACCUGGUGGCGAGCGGCGGACGGGUGAGUAAUGCCUAGGAAUCUGCCUGGUAGUGGGGGAUAACGCUCGGAAACGGACGCUAAUACCGCAUACGUCCUACGGGAGAAAGCAGGGGACCUUCGGGCCUUGCGCUAUCAGAUGAGCCUAGGUCGGAUUAGCUAGUUGGUGAGGUAAUGGCUCACCAAGGCGACGAUCCGUAACUGGUCUGAGAGGAUGAUCAGUCACACUGGAACUGAGACACGGCCCAGACUCCUACGGGAGGCAGCAGUGGGAAUUUUGGACAAUGGGGAAACCCUGAUCCAGCCGUCCGCGUGUGCGAUGAAGGCCUCGGUUGUAAGCACUUUGCAGGAAGAAACGGCGUCCGUUAAGUACGGCGUCGACUGACGUACCUGCAGAAUAAGCACCGCUAACUACGUGCCAGC
rnacentral:rRNA from 1 species